GUAUGUGCAUGUGUCUCUGUGUAUAUAUGUAAAUGUACAUGUAUGUGGGUGUGUGUAUCUGUUAUGUGUAUAUGUACAUGUGUGUGUAUGUGUGUGUGUGUUUGAAAAUGCUACCACUGUUGAUUCAACUUAGAACUCCUGCCCCCCCCCACUCCCCCCCACUGUCUUCUCGGAUUCGGUGGAGGCGCUGCCUGGCGCCUCCCCGGGACUCGCUGAGACAGCUGCUCCCCAGUGGCCUCACCAGCCUCGCCACCCGGCUCGGUGGGAAUGCGACGUCCACACUGGGUUGCACUGUGUCCCCCGGCAAGGUGAGAUCUGCUACCUCGCUCUCAGAGCCCAGAACAGCGCUCAGCGAUGACGCAGGCCCAAGGCUCCCGAGGUGGAGUCCACGAUGGUGGCCGGCACGUGGUGACCCUGGGCCCACAGGGACCUGGGGAAUGACUCACGCUGCUCCCACACAGGUGAGUGUAGAAGCCAGGCAUGGGCCCUGGUCUUCCAUAAUGUUUUAUGUUUUCAUUCCAGAUUUUUCAGCAAGUCGAGAGGCACAGCUGUUUGUGUCAGUAGAUGCGAUGUGGUGAUGUUCAGAGUAUUUGAGGAAGUGGAAAUGGAAACCUAAGGUUUGCAAUGAGUGUUUGAAAAGCCAGAGGGUUAAGCCAACACAAGCAGUGCCGGCAUCCCAUUUGAGUGCCGGUUCAAGUCCUGGCUGCUCCGCUUCUGAUCCAACUCCCUGCUAACGCACCUGGGAAAGCAAAGGAAAAUGGCCCAGAUCCCACCUACAUGGGAGAAGAAUGGAGUUCCAGGCUCCUGGCUUUGGCCUGGCCCAGUCCCAGCCAUUUGCAGCCAACUGGGGAGUGAUCCAGCAGAUGGAAGAUCUCUCUGUGUGUCUCUCCUUCUCUCUCUGUCACUCUGCCUUUCAAUUAAAUAAAUCUUUAAAAAGAGAGAGGGAGAGAGAGAAA
rnacentral:lncRNA from 1 species